rnacentral:lncRNA from 13 species
AUCAUUAUUAUUGACCGUAUUAAAAUGCGAGUUCAGACGUAAAUGAAUCACUAAUCACAUGAAAUAAAUAAUAAUCUUCAGAAAUGACUUUGUCAAAGCAACAAAAUAAAUAGGGCUGUACAAUGAUGGUGAAAACUAGGAGAUUUUGGGGGGUUAAGUGGGUUAAACUCUUCCUAGAAGUCACAGAGGGUGAAUGGAGGGACAUGUCAAAAUGCUGAAUUUCUGUGCUUUAGCAGAUCUAUUAUUAUAAAAAAAUAUGAUUUAUUGAAUUAUCCAUGUGGUGUAUAUUAAAGGGAACUUCAUUUAAUAUAACAUACUUUUAAAAAUCAAUAUUUGUGCACAAUUUCUUCUUAAAAUAUCAAAGGCACACUUUUCGUUGAACGACCCACCCCUUUGUCCAGCUGUGGGUGCGUUGUGUUAGGACAUGGAGUCAUGGACACAUCGAGAGAGAGCAAACCAGAAUAUUCUGCAACAUCGCUCUCUCACUUAUGCACUUCAGCGCUGGACAGCGCUUAGCCGCGUCUCUCCUGAUGGAAACGGGAUAUGAAGUCAUGGCUGGCUAUAAUGCAACCCUGCCAGUCUAACACCACGGCAUGACUUACCUUGUCAUGUACCGGUGACUGACCACCUUGGUGGAAGAGCAGGAGGUUGUUGUUGCUGCCGGACCUCGCGCAGUGAUAUUUAGUAGACAUCAUGUUUCUAUGCAACACAAGUGCAAUCAAAGACUGGAGCUAUUUCCUCUCUCAGAUCCUGCCUCUGAUCAACAAGACGUCUGGCUUGGUCAAUCAGGGCAUCAUCGACGAAGCGGAGGUGGCGACCACCACCAUGGUGACUGCUCUAGAGCCGGACCUGAGCGGGAUAAGCGCCAGUCACCCCCCGCUGAACUCUAAUCACACCUCCGGGAUGGAACAUGUCUUUCAGUACUCGGAGAGUGACCUUCUGUAUACGGACAACAGGACACCAGCCCGGGACCCCAUCCCACUGCCCAAGGCCGUGCUCUACCUUGUUUGCGCGGCUCUAGUGGUGGUCGCGGUGGUAUAUGCCAUAGUGGGACACCUGGUCAAGGAUCUGGUUACUGAGUUUGUAGACUGCAGGUUGUUUGGUGGCUGCACAGUGACCAACAGGAGUAAGAGUGAGAUAAACUGUAUCACCAACAGCGUGAACGAGAUGAGUGAGAUGAGCGAAAGGCCACAGUUGGUAGAGAUGAACUACAUUACUUGUAACCACAGUAACUGCCUGGGGGCGACUGCCCAACCAGAAGAACUCAUAGUGACCAUAGACGAGACGUUACAGCUGCCGCAGGAUACACACACUGGGACCUAA